UACGUAGGGUGCGAGCGUUGUCCGGAAUUAUUGGGCGUAAAGAGCUCGUAGGCGGUUUGUCGCGUUGUUCGUGAAAACUCACAGCUUAACUGUGGGCGUGCGGGCGAUACGGGCAGACUUGAGUACUGCAGGGGAGACUGGAAUUCCUGGUGUAGCGGUGGAAUGCGCAGAUAUCAGGAGGAACACCGGUGGCGAAGGCGGGUCUCUGGGCAGUAACUGACGCUGGUGGCGCGAAAGCCUAGGGGAGCAAACGGG
rnacentral:rRNA from 1 species